rnacentral:tRNA from 12 species
GGGGCGGAUGUAGCCAAGUGGAUCAAGGCAGUGGAUUUGUGAAU